CAGAGCCCGCCAGCUGCUAAGCCAGGGCCACACCUGGGGGUGAUUUUAUGCCUCACCUCCAGUAGGCACCUCGGUUUCUUUGGGCUAAUCUUUGGCUCCUUUGCACUAACUCUUGCUCUCACCCAGCUAAUCCCUGCCUCGCCCUGGCUGCCCCUGGGGGCUGACCUCUAACAGCCAGCCCUGCCCAGGUGGGGGCUCCAGGCUCCCGGCCUGGCUCUGAUCUGCUCUUAAUUAACCUCUCCUUCACCCGACUAACUCCUGCCCUACUGAUCUGUUCCUUUCAGCAGAAACUAACGGCUUGUGGAUUUCUUUCUGACUAACAACAGGUCUAACACUCCUGGUUACUAUUAACAGCUUGGAUGUCGGCAUGGCUGGG
ensembl:misc_RNA